GAUUGAUUACACCGGAGACGCUUCCGUCCCAAUUGCUGCCUCACACUUCUCUUCCAAAAUCGAUCAGAAUAGAAACCGAAAAAAAAAAAAAUUUUGGAAAAGCGAAACGAAGAAGAAACCCUAAUCAUGCUCUUAGGGUUUCAAUUUCCAAUUAGCAGCAUCUUCGAACUGUAAUCUCUGAAUUCGAGCUUUUUGAAGUUCCGAUCUCGGGGAAGAUGAGCGAAAACAGCGAUAAUCGGAAUAAGGAUAAUCCGUGGCCGUCGCCAAACAGGCCGUACCAAGAGAAGGAGCCGGCGGAGUUGAAGCUUUGGGGAAUUUUCCUCUUCGGUUUAAUUGGCGCCACCGCCACCACUUUCGCUGUCGGUCAGUUGCGGAGGACUGUUGGUUGGUUCUACUCUCAGUUAAGCAGGACACAAUCUUUUAAAGGAGGAUCUGGGAAAUCGUUUCAAUCGUCUUUUCGAGAGGAAGCAUGGAGAAGAUACAACCGUCGGAUGCAAGAGGAGUACGAAGAAGAAAUGGAGAGAGUAGAACGAAUACGGCGUAUGCAAAGCGUGUUCAAUAGAGAGAGGAACAAAUACAAAAGGGGCUACGAGAGCUGGAAGGAAAAUGGCAAUGGUGCGGAUCAUCAACAUUUCCAGCGAGAUGAUUGGUAUUGGAAGACGGAUACUUCCUUCAGAGACAGAAGGACUAACUACAGCAGAGUUCCCAAAGAAAAUACCAGCUAUUCAUUAUCACAUCACUACUCAGUGUUGGGCCUUGACAGGUUCAGAACAAAACCUUACACAGAUGCCGAGAUUAAGACAGCAUUUAGGGCCAGGGCAAUGGAGUUUCACCCAGAUCAGAACCAAGACAAUAAAGUGGCUGCUGAGGCCAAAUUUAAAGAGGUAAUGGUCUCCUAUGAAGCCAUAAAGAAAGAGAGACCGGGCAGCACAACUCGGGAUUCUUCUUAAACGUUGAAGCAGGCAGAUAUUGAUGCGCUGCGUUGAGCAAUUCCAAGUUUCUUCAGAGUUUAGUAGAUCGGAAAGAAUUACAGUGUAUUUAUUUUGGAGGAAGAGUUUGAGAGGUAGCGCUUAUGCUAGGUUGAUAUCGGAGGUUAAUUGAUGACCUUUGUGUAUACACAUAAAAUAAAGGCAGGUGAAUGACAUGCUUCAAGUAAAACCGAUAGAUUGCUUGUGUUUCCUAAUUCUUGCUUGGACGACAGCAAAGUUUUGUGAAGGAAAUACGAACUGUUGUUUUCGCUCGCCAUUCAACGAUUCUUGGGGUAAAUGGCGCUCUUUUGUACGUAAACGACGUUGAAGCUCUUUUUAGGAUUCAAAACGACAAAGAACUUGUAAGUGUAAGAAAAACAGAAAAGAUAAG